UUUUGACACUAACACCCAUUUGGUUCGGGGUUAAAAGGUGGAAUAACCCCUUAACCCCGAAGUUAUUUCCAAACAUCCAAUUUGAGUGGUGGGGUUAGCUAAUUCCAUCCCAAAUGGGCUAUUCCGGGAUAGCCCAUUUGGGGUGGAGUUAGUUGACCCCACCUUACCCCACUAUUCCAACCAAACAAAAUACUAUUUUACCCAGUAUCCUUCUUAUUCCACCUAGUCCAACCAAACACUAUUUUACCUAUAUCUAGACUAAACCCAAUUCUCAACCAAACACAUAAUUACUCUAGCCCCAUCUUAACCCUGAACUUAACUCUAUCCCUGAAAUAACAAGUUUUUACUUAACUCCGAACCAAACGGCGGGAGUGUUUGUUUGGAUGGAAGUGAGGGGGAAGUGGAGAGGGGGGAAAUUGUUUACGUCGUAAACUAUCAUUUCCGUUGUUUGGUUCGCCGUAAAAUAGUUACGGCCGAAACUCGAGUUAACCCGAAAUGGCAUAAUUGACUUCGGCCCAUUGUGGGCCGAAAUCAAUUACGGUGAAGGAGGGUGAAGAAAAAAUAAUAAAAUAAUAUACUAGAUACAGAUAAUUAUAUUUAAUUAUGGUAUUAAUUAUUUUUUUAUUCGGUUGACAUAUCUAAAAUAUGAUAAAAAUUGAUUAAUCAAGUAUUAAUUUUUUUUACUUCAUGGUUUUAUUGUUGUAUUAUUAUAAUUUAUGUAUAAAAAAAUAAUUUAGUUGUUUUAAAUUAAAUUUUAAUUAUAUAAAAUAUAAUUAUAUUAUUUUUAUUUAUUAAAUUAUUUAUUAUUUAUAUAUAAAUUAUAGUUUUACAGCAUACACUUUCUACCAAACAAACAGCAGAACUAAUGAAACUCCGCUUCCAUAACUACAAAACAAACAACGAAAAAUAAAUAGUUUUCACCGAACUCCACCUCAAUUCAAAGUCCACUUCAACCCAAAGUCAAGUUUCUGUGAAAUAAACAUGCCCUAAGAGUCCAUUUGUUUUGAUGUAUAUGGAGUGAUAGAACUCAAGUUCCAUCACUUUCGUUAUUUAUUUUGAUGUAAGUCAAAAAUAUAAUAUAACUCUUACCUACUCUCGAUUUCCUCUUCUAAAGUAUCGAACUCGACUUCCGCCACUCUCAAUUCCUCUAAAAUAUUUAUUAAAUAGUAAAAUAUAAACUCUACUUUCUUUAUAAUAGAUUAGAAUUAUCUUAUUUAUAAUAAUUAGAAUUACCUUUAUAUAAUAAUAAAAAAUUUAAUUAUCUAAUAGAUUAAAUUUUAUAGCGGUAAAUUUAUCACUAAAUUUAGGAGAUAACGGAAUCCACUUGCUUACAUCAAAACAAACAACGAAACUCAAAAAAUUAAUUUUUACCAGCAUCAAGUUACAUCAAAACAAUCAGAAGAAGUAAUUGAAUUUAAUUUUCAGACUGUACGAGUUACGUUAAAACAAACAACAAAAAUAUAAUCACAUUUCUUUUCUUUAUUUUUUUGAGAGAUAGGUAGCACGCUACCCGCUUCGUUUAUUUCAUUUAGAAAUAAACUUAGCUGGAAAUGUGAAUCAACUAGGAUUCGAACUUGGGUUUCGGGUACCAACCAUCAAGCCCUUUGCCACUUGCUCUAGGAAAGGUCGGUAAUAUAAUCACAUUUUAGAAAAACUCAAAUACCACUAUACUUGACUUACGUUAGAUCUACAUAUUCAUCAAUCCAAACGCUCCCUAUGCGUUCACAAGUACAGCUUUGUUACAU
rnacentral:lncRNA from 1 species